rnacentral:rRNA from 1 species
ACGGGAGGCAGCAGUGAGGAAUAUUGGUCAAUGGGCGGAAGCCUGAACCAGCCAAGUAGCGUGAAGGAUGACGGCCCUACGGGUUGUAAACUUCUUUUGCCGGGGGAUAAAAAACGGGACGCGUCCCGUCUUGCAGGUACCCGUGCGAAUAAGGACCGGCUAAUUCCGUGCCAGCAGCCGCGGUAAUACGGAAGGUCCGAGCGUUAUCCGGAUUUAUUGGGUUUAAAGGGUGCGCAGGCGGCCCUGUAAGUCAGCGGUUAAAUCGUGGAGCUCAACUCCAUCCCGCCGUUGAUACUGCAGGGCUUGAUUGCGGUCGAGGUUGGCGGAAUUCGCCGUGUAGCGGUGAAAUGCAUAGAUAUGGCGAAGAACUCCGAUUGCGUAGGCAGCUGACCAGGCCGUAAAUGACGCUCAUGCACGAAAGUGCGGGGAUCGAACAGGAUUAGAUACCCUGGUA